UACGUAGGGGGCAAGCGUUGUCCGGAAUUAUUGGGCGUAAAGAGCGUGUAGGCGGUCCGGUAAGUCGGCUGUGAAAGUCCAGGGCUCAACCCUGGGAUGCCGGUCGAUACUGCCGGACUAGAGUUCGGAAGAGGCGAGUGGAAUUCCCGGUGUAGCGGUGAAAUGCGCAGAUAUCGGGAGGAACACCUAUGGCGAAGGCAGCUCGCUGGGACGUUACUGACGCUGAGGCACGAAAGUGUGGGGAUCAAACAGG
rnacentral:rRNA from 1 species